rnacentral:rRNA from 1 species
UGCUUGCACUCUUUGGACGUCGACCGGCGCACGGGUGAGUAACGCGUAUCCAACCUUCCCAUUACUGUGGGAUAACCUGCCGAAAGGCAGACUAAUACCGCAUAGUCUUCGAUGACGGCAUCAGAUUUGAAGUAAAGAUUUAUCGGUAAUGGAUGGGGAUGCGUCUGAUUAGCUUGUUGGCGGGGUAACGGCCCACCAAGGCGACGAUCAGUAGGGGUUCUGAGAGGAAGGUCCCCCACAUUGGAACUGAGACACGGUCCAAACUCCUACGGGAGGCAGCAGUGAGGAAUAUUGGUCAAUGGACGGAAGUCUGAACCAGCCAAGUAGCGUGCAGGAAGACGGCCCUAUGGGUUGUAAACUGCUUUUGUAUGGGGAUAAAGUUAGGGACGUGUCCCUAUUUGCAGGUACCAUACGAAUAAGGACCGGCUAAUUCCGUGCCAGCAGCCGCGGUAAUACGGAAGGUCCAGGCGUUAUCCGGAUUUAUUGGGUUUAAAGGGAGCGUAGGCUGGAGAUUAAGUGUGUUGUGAAAUGUAGACGCUCAACGUCUGAAUUGCAGCGCAUACUGGUUUCCUUGAGUACGCACAACGUUGGCGGAAUUCGUCGUGUAGCGGUGAAAUGCUUAGAUAUGACGAAGAACUCCGAUUGCGAAGGCAGCUGGCGGGAGCGCAACUGACGCUUAAGCUCGAAGGUGCGGGUAUCAAACAGGAUUAGAUACCCUGGUAGUCCGCACAGUAAACGAUGGAUGCCCGCUGUUGGUACCUGGUAUCAGCGGCUAAGCGAAAGCAUUAAGCAUC